rnacentral:rRNA from 1 species
GACGAACGCUGGCGGCGUGCCUAAUACAUGCAAGUUGAGCGAAGAGGAUAGGUGCUUGCUCCAAUUUGAAGAGCAGCGGACGGGUGAGUAACGCGUGGGUAAUCUGCCUUUGAGAGGGGGACAACAUUGGGAAACGAGUGCUAAUACCGCAUAACAUCUUUAAACAUAAGUUUUAAGAGUGAAAGAUGCAAUUGCUUCCCUCAAAGAAGAUCCCCCGUUCUAUUAGCUAGUUGGGGAGGGAAAGGCUCACCAAGGCAACGAUGCGUAGCCGACCGGAGAGGGUGAUCGGCCACAUGGGAACUGAGACACGGUCCAGGCUCAUAGGGGAGGCAGCAGUAGGGAAUCUUCCGCAAUGGGCGAAAGCCUGACGGAGAAACGCCGCGUGAGUGAUGAAGGUCUGCGGAUCGUAAAACUCUGUUAUUAGGGAAGAACAAAUGUGUAAGUAACGAUGCACGUCUUGACGGUACCUAAGCAGAAAGCCACGGCUAACUACGU